GCAGCUGCUUGAUGUUAGGCAAGUUUUAUUCUCUGCUGCAUUUGUGCUGCAAAGUGAACGCUUUGUCAUGGAUAUAACACACAAUCUACUGCUGUGAUUCUGUGGGCUUUUAUUCAACCUGGUCUUAGAAGGUUGGACCAUGUUCUCUGGGACUCUUGUUGUGGUGCUUCUGGUUCUCAUCCUGUGUAGGCGGGUCCUGUGGCAUGGAUUAUGCAUCCUCAUUGGCCAGAAAUGGUUCAAGACGCCUGCAAGGACUGGAGGAGCUACCAAUAGGAGACAGCCUGAAGUGACAAAUGGAUAACUAAUAUGAGCCUGGUUCUUCCACAUUUAUUCUGUUGUUGAUUUCUUUCUUACAUGUUCUGCCUUUGCAUGCCCCGAAAAGGAAGAAAUGAAAGAACCAUGAUUAUACAUCAAUAAAAGAGCUACUUAAACUCUAGUGGGGUGUGGACAGUUCUAAGAGACAUACCAAAAGUGACGAAUCCAAGCUUCAAAGGAAAUCUAAACGUCUCUGAAGCAGCAACGAUUGCUUGAGCUCACUUGCUGAAUUUUUUCAGUCUCCUCCACCACCACACAACCCAUCCAUCCAUUCUUUGUACCUACUAUGCAGUUUUAUACUCAUUCAUGAUGGAGCUGGAGCGAAAGGCAGGGAAACACUGCAGACUGUAGUACAACAUACAACAUCAGAGAAUCCUAACUGUGGGUGCCCUAGCGGAGCUGAGGUGGGAUGAGUGUGUGGCAACCAUCAGCUGAGUGUGUUAGGCUGAGACACGUGUCAGUCGAGCAAACACACACCAAAACAUGUUUCUGUUCAUUUCUUAAUGUAACAAAAUUGCCCCCAAGCUAUUGAGAACAUAAUGUAAUAAUAAACUGAUGUACUCAGAGGGAAGUUGGGACUUUAUUAAUUGACUUCAUGCAGUCAGGAGAUUUGUGGAGACAUCUAGUGGUCAUUUAUGGCAUUUCUUUGGUCUUUUUGUUGCUGUAUUGCAAACCAUCCAAACAGGUCACAAGUCAUAAAGCAAAAAAUACUUUUACACACAUUCACAGCUAUGGGCAAUUUCCAUUCGACCUGAGACUGUCUUUGGACUGUGGGAGCACACCAAACUACUUUCAAGAAACCCAUACAAGCCAUUCACAACGCGUGGACCAGGGCAGAGAUGGCAGCCUCUGAGCCUCCAUGCUUCCCACAUUUCUGAGUAAUCACGUCCUCAAUAUUUGUGUCAGUUGGGGCUGCUUAGAACAGCUUUAAAGCAGACAAGCCUACAGCUACUCUGUGUUUUGUUGUGAUGUACUGUGAAAGCAAAGUAGAGCAAAGGGCGAACUUUAUGUUGUGCUUCCAUAUUGACAACUGCCAUUGUUUAAAUCUCCAUUAGAAUGGCCAAGUAAAUGGAAAAUGGCUACAUUUAUACAGCACUUUUCAAGCACACACCAGCAAGCUACCACACAGGGUGCUGGCCAACUUUUGGGAGCAAUUUGUCUUGGCUCAUUAUGACCGGAGGUCAUAUAUUACCCUCCACAACUGAAAUAUAUCUCUCUGUUCUUUUGUUUCUUUCACUCUGCUGAAGAACCAAGAACAGCAGUCAUUGUUCUUGUCUGCUCCAUUGCUUUCACAGGGAGGAAAAGUGAAAUUUGAUUGUUCACACCCUUGUGUGCAAGUAAGAGGGUGUGAAUCAACAUGUAAGCAUAUUGUUCUGGACUGGGACUGAGUGACAUUUUUAUGAGGAGGGGUUGCAGAGAGAGAAAGGCUUUACUUUCAGCGGGCACUUAGCCACUGAAAUGAAACCUCUUGUUUGAGCUUUGUUUUGUCUUAACGCUGCACAGAAGCUCCUGGGUCUGAGAUUGGAGUUGUACAUGCUUCCCAGGGACUGCAAAUGCAAAUCAGCCUAAAUCUAAAUCCACAUCUAAAUCUAAGGCCUAUAUAGCCGCUCAGUUCUCUUCUGCCUCUGGCGGGCCAUGAAUAUGACAUUAAUCACAAAAGGAUGGUCCUCGUUGUUGCUAUCAUCCUGUCUUCAAAUGUGCACGUUGCCUAACAACCCUCUGCAAUGACUGCUCCACAUAGGUGAACAGGUAUGGAUGAGGAGAUGUGUUUGGAAUGCGGUGGACAGAUGUCAACAUAAAGGCUCUGAGCCCAGGAGAAGAGGAGGAGGAGGAGACGGGGGGAGGUGGUGAGAGGGAGCAGAGAAUGGCCUUGGCUAUUUGAAAGUGAAUUUCCUUCCCUGCAGCUAGAGAUUACCCAGCCCUUCAAUGUUAAUGGCUGCCACAAAUGGCCAUAGAUAAGACUUGGAGGACAGAGAAGGAAGGAGGUUAGCUUGAAACAGUGCUGAUGCUGCUAUCAUUUUCAUCUGCACUCCUCUUUCACUUGAGACGUUCACAUCACUCUUUUCUGCUUGUGGUUUAUGAGCUCUUUAGGUGUUUUUCUUUUAUCACUUUUGUAGAUUUGGUCAUUGUUUCAUGUACAAUUCUAAACACAAAUCACUUCAUAAAACUCAACUUGCACACAUUCAGAAAGCACACUCAAGUCAGUUGCCUGGAAACACUAAGCAGAAAAACUAAUAAAAAAACAGUCUCACAAAUAUUGCAAUUGAUUGUAGCAACAGGUCAUUUCUGUAGUAGUGUUAAUUGUUCUCACCAGUAUGUGAUGGUUGGUGCAUUGAGUCUGUGUAUUUGAUUGCAUUUGUUUGCUCUCUGGAAGAGUGACGUGUUUGAUCUUGAAGAUAGAGGUUUGUACAGUGUGUGAGUGUGAGUUAGGGUUAUGUAUUUGUAGUUUUAAGAAAAUGAUGCAUAAUAUCAGAUAAUGUCUCUCAGGACAUUUUGCAGCGCUUUGUUGCUUUCAAGUGAUGCAACUGUAUCUGCAGUCUCCUCAGUAUCAAUCAAACAUUCUUGAUAUUUGUGACACAGUACAUAAAAUCAGUGUGAGGCCACUACCUGAGUGGGUUUAUCUGUUUUCUCUUCAAUCUAGUAAGUAACCACAACAAACCAAGUUAAUCGAAAUGUUUUGUUUGGGGUCCUGGAGGCCCUGGACACACCUCAAAAAACAUAAUCAUUAUUGUACUGAAACUAUUACUUUUUUCUAAUUUGAUGAGAAUUGCUAAAAAACAUGAUUUUGAAUUGACGACAUGUUUCAGAAGUCUGCUACAGAAAAUGACACAUUACAUCUGUUUGGGGUCUCAGAGACGCCAGCUGUAAAAAAAAGUCAUCUUCUCUGCAUCUGUGACUGGUGUUAUACACAGCAGAACCCCUCCCAAAUCACAAAUAUUUAGAUUUUCCUUACUGGAGGUUUAUAACAGUUUGUUUAUAGGCCUCUGGGUUCUAACUAAGUCAUGAUGUACGAUAACUGACUGUACAUUUCUGUGAAUGACUUUCUGGCAAACAAAAGGAAUAUUUAUUUCUUCAUGCAUAGACCAUUUAACAGAUAAAACAAGAAACAUUUCCUUAUUUGGUGUAAUAACAGCACUCCUCAAAGGUCUUUAUCAAAUGUGUAAGCCCAGUUUGUGGCAAAAGGAAGUGUUGUCACUUAAGUGUUCUUCUACAUAUUGGGUUUUAAUAAGAAGAAAAGAACGAAAUAUUUAAAGGAAACUAAUUAGCAUUAUCACUUAUAUACACAUACAGCAGUGGGGUCUGUGGGAUCCCCAAAAAAUCAGGAAAUAAUAAGAAAUAGAGGCUAAAUAAAGAGAAAUAAAGAGCGAUCACGCCUGAACCAUAAUGGCACCAGAUAUUAUUUGGUGAUUUGUGACUCCAAAGCCUCCAUAAACAGUUUGAAAACUGGCAGAUUAUAGCUG